rnacentral:rRNA from 1 species
UACGUAGGGGGCAAGCGUUGUCCGGAUUUAUUGGGCGUAAAGAGCGUGUAGGCGGCUAGAUAGGUCCGUUGUGAAAACUCGAGGCUCAACCUCGAGACGCCGGUGGAAACCAUCUAGCUAGAGUCCGGAAGAGGAGAGUGGAAUUCCUGGUGUAGCGGUGAAAUGCGCAGAUAUCGGGAAGAACACCCGUGGCGAAGGCGGUUCUCUGGGACGGUACUGACGCUGAGACGCGAAAGCGUGGGGAGCGAACAGG